rnacentral:rRNA from 1 species
GACGAACGCUGGCGGCGUGCCUAACACAUGCAAGUCGAGCGGAGUUGACAAGAGGAAGUUUUCGGAUGGAAUCUUGCCAGCUUAGCGGCGGACGGGUGAGUAACGCGUGAGCGACCAACCUUGCACAGGGGGAUAACGGACCGAAAGGUUCACUAAUACCGCAUGAGACCACGGUGUUGCAUGACACAGGGGUCAAAGGAGGAAUCCGGUGCAAGACGGGCUCGCGUCCGAUUAGGUAGUUGGAGGGGUAACGGCCCACCAAGCCUAUGAUCGGUAGCCGACCUGAGAGGGUGAUCGGCCACAUUGGAACUGAGAUACGGUCCAAACUCCUACGGGAGGCAGCAGUGGGGAAUAUUGGGCAAUGGGGGAAACCCUGACCCAGCAACGCCGCGUGAAGGAAGAAGGUUUUCGGAUUGUAAACUUCUGUCCUUGGUGAAGAGAAGAAGACGGUAGCCAAGGAGGAAGCCCCGGCUAACUACGUGCCAGCCGCCGCCGUAA